ensembl:lncRNA
UUUUUCUUUAUUUUACUAUUUUCUACAUUGUAGAAUAAUACAGAAGACAUCCCAACUAUGCAAUAACACAUAUGGAAUCAUGUAGUAACCAAAAUAUUUGUUAUAUUUGAGAUUCUUCAAAGUAGCCCCCUUUACCUGGAUGACAUAUUUACACACUCUUGGCAUUCUCUCCACCAGCUUCAUGAGGUAGUCACCUGAAAUGCAUUUCAAUUAACAGGUGUGCAUUUUCAAAAGUUCAUUUGUGGAAUUUCUUUCCUUCUUAAUGUGUUUGAACCAAUCAGUUGUGUUGUGACAAGGUAGGGGUGGUAUAUAGAAGAUAGCUCUAUUUGGUAAAAUACCAAGUCCAAAUUAUGGCAUGAACAGCUAAAAUAAUUAUUUUUGAAGUAGUGGAUAUGUUCAGUAGUGAAAACGAUUGCAGUUAAGAUCAAUAACAUGUGUGCGCGCUCUGAAACGAUUGACUGCGAUCAUCAUGCGCGAGAGGCUAACCAACUACCAAUGAACUAUCUAGCCAGCUAAUGUGCUCCUAUACAAACCGACAGUCCAGGUGUCAAUAUCUGAUAUUUUCAGCAUGACAUGGUUAACGUUAGCUAGCUAAAAUGACUGUUGCGUUAUUCCGCCUCAUCGGGUGAUGAACUGGGCUUGAUGGAUCACAAAAUGGAGCAAAGACCUCCUGCUGACGUUACCGAUGUUCCAGGUUGAGGAGAGGCUGACAGAGUGUUUGACCCUGCUGGGAGGGAACAGCUUGCUGAGGUCCCUGCUCAUCCGUCAUGUCCUGUCUGAGAUCAACCGGCUAGCAGAGCACGUCUUGAUCACCUGCCAGGGGGAGAGCAGUGAGGGGUCUGUCCAGGUUGACGUGUCCCAGUAUGAAAACUCCUCCUACCUGGUCUGACUCCUGGAGUAGCUCCUACAUGGACCUCCAGGGGCCGCAGUGGGGCCAGGACACCAAUGGACGUAGGAGCAGAGGGCCCUGCUGGGCAGCCUGGAACACAGCGUCCUUCUCCUGUCUGACUUCCCCUGUUUAGCCUACAUGUGGAGGAUAGGGGCUCUCCUCGCCCCCUCUGUUCCAGGAACGAGCAUGGCGCCACCACGGCCACACAGGCGUGUAAUUCCACCUCCAGGAUGUUUCCACUUCAAAGGGCUGCAGAAGUUGGUGCAGAUACAGUCAAUUUGACUGACAUGACAGGAUUGAAGAGACAGGACUUAACAAACUGGAGGAGGUGGUGGGAGGUGCGUUAUUCAUUGAGGUUGGCUACCUCUUCAGAAGAAUAAUCUAUAAAUAGUAUGGCACUAAACCAAAGCCUGUCAUUAUUCUUGUUGGGAAAAGUGUGGCAAUUAAACAAUAAGACCCGAGGGGGUGUGGUACAGUAUAUGGCCAAUACACCACGGCUAAGGGCUGUUCUUAAGCACAACUCAACACGGAGUGCCUGGACACAGCCCUUAGCCGUGGGGGUUUGUGAUAUCAGGGCGGCAGGGUAGCUUUCAGCCACUCAGCAUUCAGGGCUCGAACCACAGUUUAUAAUGUGAAAUAGACUAUUGUGGCUGGCAUUAGAAUUACAAUGGAAAGCAUUGCAUUUUUUAUGAGAAUUAUAUAUUUUUUAUUUACAGACUGUGUGAAUGUAGAAUGGAUAUACUGAGUGCUGUAUGAGCAGGAAUAUCUUACUGUAAAGAAGGUAUGUCCGGAAAGUUUUUAGGCAUUUACAUUUUCAUUUGUUGAUUCUAUUAGCAAGAUGUAGUGAAGCAAUUUUACAAAUGGAUUUGAAAAUAAAUAAAAUCCAAAAUGUUCAUAUUCCAGAUUGUAUCCUUGAUUCAAGUCCAUGUAAAUAUUUAGUUACUGGACUUUGAUAUAAGUGUUUAUAGAAAUAUGUACUGAUAUUUAAGACAUGAUUGUAUAGAGAUUGUCAGUGACAUUAGAGUCUGACUUGUUGUAGUGUUCUAUAGAAGGGAUACAGUAAGUCUGACUUGUUGUAGUGUUCUAUAGGAGGGAUACAGUAAGUCUGACUUGUUGUAGUGUUCUAUAGGAGGGAUACAGUAAGUCUGAUUUACUGCCAUGUUCUAUAGCAGCGAUGGCUGUGUCCUAACAGACUGAACAGGUUAUAUUAGUGCUGCAUGACCCUCCCCAGUUUGUUAUCCUCUUCUAAAUAGCUGUGGACGGGAGGUGAGGCAGACUGCCUGUGAUGACUGCCAGCUCUGCUAUGUUUGCCCCGGCUGUAACCCAGU